CGGAGAGUGACUGGCCUGCCUCACUCCCUUGGAGCCAAGGCUGUCUGGUGGUCAUGGCAUGUGACAAGACCAAAACAGAAUGCCAUCUGAGAUGUCCAUCUGAAUGAACCAAGAGCGAAGUAGAAUCUAGGUUCCGGAAGGACAAUGCCAGAAGUUUAUUUAAUUAAUCCUUAUAACAACUUAUUGAACUGAUAAACUAAGACAAAGGGGAAGGCCUUGAAGGAGAUAAAUCACAUGAUUUGGUGGAGGACAAGAGGAAUGGGGAAAAGACCAGAAGCAGAAAGUUUGAUUGUGAAAUUAUUGUAAUGGUCCAGAAUUUAAGAGAAAAAGAUGAACUCUGGCAAUAACAACAGAGCUACAAAGAAGGCAAAAAGUAUUGACAACUCUUAAAAACAAUGGAUGAAGAAGCUAGAUAAAAUGGCUUGCAUCAUAUACAUGGCUUGCAUCAUACUUCUACUGGACAGCACUGCUCUGCCACAGUGGUCCUCAGCUGGGGACAAAAGGGACAUCUGGCAACAUCCAGAAACAUUUUU